CUGCAACCUGCAUACAUUUAUGCCAGCAACACCUUAACACACUGCUGGAUACACCAAGGACAAUGCGACAUGGCAUCGAGCUAAGUGAGAAUGAUACCUACAGAUAUGCUAGUGGUCUAAACACUGCCCUGUGUCACAGAAUAUAAAUAAAUUUGAGUCAAUA
rnacentral:lncRNA from 1 species